rnacentral:rRNA from 1 species
CUACGUAGGUGACAAGCGUUAUCCGGAUUUACUGGGUGUAAAGGGCGUGUAGGCGGUUUAGCAAGUCAGAAGUGAAAUUCCCGGGCUUAACUUGGGCGCUGCUUCUGAAACUGCUUUACUUGAGUGCUGGAGAGGAUAGUGGAAUUCCUAGUGUAGCGGUAAAAUGCGCAGAUAUUAGGAGGAACACCGGUGGCGAAGGCGGCUAUCUGGACAGUAACUGACGCUGAGGCGCGAAAGCACGGGGAGCAAACAGGAUUAGAUACCCUGGUAGUCCGUGCCGUAAACGAUGAAUACUAGGUGUAGGGGGUAUCGACUCCCUCUGUGCCGCAGUUAACACAUUAAGUAUUCCACCUGGGGAGUACGGCCGCAAGGUUGAGACUCAAAGGAAUUGACGGGG